rnacentral:rRNA from 1 species
UACGUAGGCAGCAAGCGUUGUUCGGAGUUACUGGGCGUAAAGCGUGCGCAGGCGGUUUUGUAAGUCUGUCGUGAAAUCCCCGGGCUCAACCUGGGAAUGGCGAUGGAGACUGCAAGGCUAGAGUUUGGCAGAGGGGGGUAGAAUUCCACGUGUAGCAGUGAAAUGCGUAGAUAUGUGGAGGAACACCGAUGGCGAAGGCAGCCCCCUGGGUCAAAACUGACGCUCAUGCACGAAAGCGUGGGGAGCAAACGGG